AUAGCGUAUAUUAAAGUUGUUGCAGUUAAAAAGCUCGUAGUUGAACCUUGGGCCUGGCUGGCCGGUCCGCCUCACCGCGUGCACUGGUCCGGCCGGGCCUUUCCUUCUGGGGAGCCGCAUGCCCUUCACUGGGUGUGUCGGGGAACCAGGACUUUUACUUUGAAAAAAUUAGAGUGUUCAAAGCAGGCCUUUGCUCGGAUACAUUAGCAUGGAAUAAUAGAAUAGGACGUGCGGUUUUAUUUUGUUGGUUUCUAGAACCGCCGUAAUGAUUAAUAGGGAUAGUCGGGGGCAUCAGUAUUCAAUUGUCAGAGGUGAAAUUCUUGGAUUUAUUGAAGACUAACUACUG
rnacentral:rRNA from 1 species